CCAUUUAAGCAUGCAGCAUUCGUGCCCAAAAGUCGGCUUCUUGACACAAUGGAAAUGGGGUCAGAAAUCAGAAUGCUAUGCUCAAAUGAAAAAAAUGUGAGCCAAGAGGGCACUUUCCGGUGCGAUCAGAAUGGCACGUGGGAGAGCAUUAAUCACGCAGUUCAAAAAUGUAGUAAGUUGUCUCGCAUUUUUUGAUGUAUCCAGGUCGACAAAUUUCACCUCAAUACUGAUAAGUUUUCCAAUGAUUGCUAUCAAUAUGUGGAACAAGCCAAAACAAAAGACCUUGCGGAGGGAUUCUGUAGAAACCAGACCUUUGGAGGUCACCUGGUUUUUCCAUUUACCGCCUCUUCAAAGUCGUUUGCUUGUGGACUUGUAUCGAAGGACGAAGCAGUAUGGGUUGGAGGUGAAUGGACGAACAUACAUACGAUUAACACGAGUCUGGGGAAUAUUUCAGCCAAAUCUGUGACUGGACUAAGCAGUUUUAAGGGCAGCGGAUGUCUAGCCUUAAACUGCAUGUCUCAAACGAUGACUGUUCAGAACUGCGGCAGGUCACUUCCGUUUAUGUGUGGAAUAGAGGCUGUGGAAACACCAUGACAUUCAGAAAAUAUAAAUGCUACAAUAUAAUGAAAUUUUAAUGAUAUUCAAUGUCCUAGAACAUUAAUCAAUUACGUAGAUAACUUGUAUCUUUUGCUGUUUUCAUAAAUUGUUGAAAACCUAAUAUUAUGUUUCAUGAAGACAAAUGUACAGCGCAUACA